AUUGAACGCUGGCGGCAGGCCUAACACAUGCAAGUCGAGCGAGCGGCGGACGGGUGAGUAAUGUAUGGGGACUGCCCGAUAGAGGGGGCUAACUACUGGCAACGGUAACUACUACCGCAUACUAUCGGAUAACCCAUAUGGGGUUAGCUAGUAGGUGGGGUAAUGGCUCACCUAGGCGACGAUCCCUAGCUGGUCUGAGAGGAUGAUCAGCCACACUGGGACUGAGACACGGCCCAGACUCCUACGGAGGCAGCAGUGGGGAAUAUUGCACAAUGGGCGAAAGCCUGAUGCAGCCAUGCCGCGUGUAUGAAGAAGGCCCUAGGGUUGUAAAGUACUUUCAGUCGGGAGGCGUUACCGACAGAAGAAGCACCGGCUAACUCCGUGCCAGCAGCCGCGGUAAUAC
rnacentral:rRNA from 1 species